CUUCAUUCACUAUUCUCUACACCAAUUACAACUUCAAAAAUCAAAAUAAUCCCCAAUAUUGAAACCGUUUGCAUCUAUUCUCCACCAUCGGUAAUUCCUCUAAUUCCACCAUCGGUUGAGUCCUCUACCGUCAUUCACCAUUCACUCAUCAAACUCUGAUGGAGACUCAUCCGCCAUACCAUUAGCCCAUCAAUGGAUUCAGGGGAGAGAAUAAGAGAAUUGGUAAAUGGGUGAAUAUCGGAGUCAGGUCGUUGCGAAAUUGUUGUUGAGGAUGAGUUGGUAUUGUAAUGCCGAUUGACAACGACAAUUAAUCACCGAAUAUUGAGAAGUGAAAGGGAGAAGACUCAAGGAUUUUUAAGAAUUUGAGAUAAUGUUUAUGUUAUUUUGCAGACUUCGAGAGAAUAGUUAUGUGGUUCACUAUGAUUGAAAGAAAAAGAAAGAGAUGAGAGAGAUGAGAGAUCUUGAGAAAGAUCUGAAAUAUUGUUAUUUGUUCAGUCUAUCUACCGCCUUACCUGCUGCUUCUCUUACUAGGAAAAAAAAAUAUCGCAUCCAUGAUUGAUUUGUGUCUUCUUGCUUCUUGCUGAACGGUGGAAAACCACCUUCAAGUUAUCAAUCUUGUGUCAAACUUGCUGGGGAGCCCCUCUUGGGCCUCAUCUCCAAGAGGUGGAUCAGAAGGAUUAAGAAGGUUGAAAGCUUCUAUGGCAAACAAGGAAUGGGUGGCUGAUUUAGAGAAACCCAAGGGUGAUCCAUCUUCAUUUAUAAAACCAGCAACAACUGUUUUGUCACCUUACUUAAAAGUUAAAAGUAGGUUAUGCAUAGUGUUUUCGAUUUGUUUAUUGGGUUAAUAGCCAAAAAAUACACGAACUUUCACCGAAUUUACAAAUUGCACAUGACCUUCAAAAAUAGCCCCAGAAUACAUGACCUUUCAAUUUAAUCGUGAUUUUCACCCGCGUUGACCAACACAUUCGCCACUGUUGACGUGGCUCCCGGAAUUUGUCUACGUGGUCGACCAGAGACGGUAGGAAUACGACGCCGUUUAAUACUUACAUUCUAACACACUGAACGACGUCGUUUUAAGAAAUUAAACGAAUUAAUAUACUUUAAAUUGAAAUCCAACGUUCUUCCUCUACAAUUAGGGUUCUUGCGCCUAAUCUCCCGAUUUCUAGAAUGCCAUCGAAUUGAAGGGAUAAACGCGGAUCGUGAAGAAAGAAGGCAGAUCGAGGAAGAAUCAUGAGUCAUUCGCGAAGUUCUUCGUCAAUUGAAAGGUCGAGUAAAGGCGUCUACAGGAGAUGUUUUCAUAAACUCCCUAUGAUUAUGAAAACUUCUCACACUGAGAAGAAUCCAGAGAGGAGGUACGUUGAAUGUGGACAGAGAGAUGGCGAGGAUUGUCGUUUUUGGGAUUGGGUCGAUCCAGAGCUAACACCAUAUUACAAGCUCUGUUUUAACAAUUUAAGAAAUGAAAGAGAUGCUACAUUCGUCGAAAUGGAGGGCCUUCGUCGCUUGAUGGAUGACAGUGGGUAUGAAGGUGAUGGAGUUGAAGCCCUUGAGUCCAUGGUGAACAAUAAAGAUAUGCCAAGUUCAGUGGAAGCAAAGUUCAAAGCAAUGGAAUGUAGACUUAGAAUUCUCACUUUUGCUUUGAUUGUUGUAGUAAUUAUGUUUCUGUAUUCUAAGAUGUAAUUUUCCCUUUGUUAAUG